rnacentral:rRNA from 1 species
UACACGACUCUCGGCAAUGGAUAUCUCGGCUCUCGCAUCGAUGAAGAGCGCAGCGAAAUGCGAUACGUGGUGCGAAUUGCAGAAUCCCGCGAACCAUCGAGUCUUUGAACGCAAGUUGCGCCCGAGGCCAACCGGCCAAGGGCACGUCUGCCUGGGCGUCAAUC